rnacentral:rRNA from 1 species
AGGACGAACGCUGGCGGCGUGCUUAACACAUGCAAGUGGCGCGACGAACCGGGCUUCGGCCCGGGGCAAAGCCGCGAACGGGUGAGUAACACGUGGGUAACCUGCCCCGAAGACCGGGACAACCCGGGGAAACCCGGGCUAAUACCGGAUGUGCUCACCACUCUUAAGGGUGGUGAACAAAGGAAGCUUCGGCCUCCGCUUCGGGAGGGGCCCGCGGCCCAUUAGCUUGUUGGUGAGGUAACGGCUCACCAAGGCGACGAUGGGUAGCUGGUCUGAGAGGACGAUCAGCCACACUGGGACUGAGACACGGCCCAGACUCCUACGGGAGGCAGCAGUGGGGAAUCUUGCGCAAUGGGCGACAGCCUGACGCAGCAACGCCGCGUGGGGGAAGACGGCCUUCGGGUUGUAAACCCUUUCAGGAGGGACGAAGUUUCGGCAGCGAAUAGCUGUCCGGAGUGACGGUACCUCACUAAGAAGCCCCGGCUAACUACGUGCCAGCAGCCGC